rnacentral:rRNA from 1 species
CCCGGGGCUCAACCGCGGGACUGCAUCGGAUACUGUAGAUCUGGAGUGCCGGAGGGGCAACGGAAUUCCUGGUGUAGCGGUGAAAUGCGUAGAUAUCAGGAGGAACACCGGCGGCGAAGGGGCUUGCUGGACGGCAACUGACGUUGAGGCUCGAAAGCGUGGGGAGCAAACAGGAUUAGAACCCUGGUAGUCCACGCUGUAAACGAUGAAUACUAGGUGUGGGCAUGCAAGGCAUGUCCGGCCGCAGCUAACGCAAUAAGUAUUCCACCUGGGGAGUACGUUCGCAAGAAUGAAACUCAAGGAAUUGACGGGGACCCGCACAAGCGGUGGAGCAUGUGGUUUAAUUCGAAGCAACGCGAAAACCUUACCAGGCCUUGACAUCGUGAUGACCGCUCCUUAAUCGGAGCUUCCCUUCGGGGCUCACAGACAGGUGGUGCAUGGUUGUCGUCAGCUCGUGUCGUGAGAUGUUGGGUUAAGUCCGCAACGAGCGCAACCCCUGCCUGUAGUAGCCAGCAUGUAAAGAUGGGCACUCUACAGGGAUGCCGGGGUCAACCCGGAGGAAGGUGGGGAUGACGUCAAAUCAUCAUGCCCCUUACGGCCGGGCGACACACGUGCUACAAUGGCACAACAAAGAGAAGCGAGCCCGCGAGGGGGAGCAAACUCAAAAAUAGUGUCCCAGUUCGGACUGUAGUCUGCAACCCGACUACACGAAGCCGGAAUGCUAGUAAUCGCGGAUCAGAAUGCCGCGGUGAAUACGUUCCCGGGUCUUGCACACACCGCCGU